rnacentral:lncRNA from 1 species
CUUGGGUGGACAGCCGGUGGGGCUUGGAGUGCCUGGAUAUGAAGUGCCUCGGAGAAUGGGGACUCCUCCAGUGAGGAGGUGGGGCUUCAGAGUCAGGUACAGAUCGGUUUGAGUUCCAUUCCUGCCCUACUCUGUGGCCUCAGACACUCUUCACCUUCUACAAGUGCAAGCUAAUGUACACUGGAAGGAACAAUUGAAGCAGCUCAUACUCACUGAUGGGCUCUGAAUUACUCUACUUGUAAGUGCUCAGGAAAAAGAUCUCAGAUUCAUUGUGGAUUGCUCAAUGGAGACAUCUGCUCGCUGUGCAGCAGCAGUCAGAAGAAUGAAUGAGAUAUAAUAGGCCGUAUUAACUUCAAGAAUG